GACGAACGCUGGCGGCGUGCUUAACACAUGCAAGUCGAACGGAAAGGCCUGCUUUUGUGGGGUGCUCGCGUGGCGAACGGGUGAGUAACACGUGAGUAACCUGCCCUUGACUUUGGGAUAACUUCAGGAAACUGGGGCUAAUACCGGAUAGGAGCUCCUGCUGCCUGGUGGGGGUUGGAAAGUUUCGGCGGUUGGGGAUGGACUCGCGGCUUAUCAGCUUGUUGGUGGGGUAGUGGCUUACCAAGGCUUUGACGGGUAGCCGGCCUGAGAGGGUGACCGGCCACAUUGGGACUGAGAUACGGCCCAGACUCCUACGGGAGGCAGCAGUGGGGAAUAUUGCACAAUGGGCGGAAGCCUGAUGCAGCAACGCCGCGUGCGGGAUGACGGCCUUCGGGUUGUAAACCGCUUUCGCCUGUGACGAAGCGUGAGUGACGGUAAUGGGUAAAGAAGCACCGGCUAACUACGUG
rnacentral:rRNA from 1 species